rnacentral:misc_RNA from 1 species
UCUCCGUUGGUGAACCAGCGGAGGGAUCAUUACCGAGUUUACAACUCCCAAACCCAAUGUGAACGUUACCAAACUGUUGCCUCGGCGGGAUCUCUGCCCCGGGUGCGUCGCAGCCCCGGACCAAGGCGCCCGCCGGAGGACCAACCAAAACUCUUAUUGUAUACCCCCUCGCGGGUUUUUUUUUUAUAAUCUGAGCCUUCUCGGCGCCUCUCGUAGGCGUUUCGAAAAUGAAUCAAAACUUUCAACAACGGAUCUCUUGGUUCUG